rnacentral:rRNA from 1 species
UACAGAGGGUGCGAGCGUUAAUCGGAAUUACUGGGCGUAAAGCGUGCGUAGGUGGUUUGUUAAGUCUGUCGUGAAAGCCCCGGGCUCAACCUGGGAAUGGCGAUGGAUACUGGCGAGCUAGAGUACGGUAGAGGAGAGUGGAAUUCCCGGUGUAGCAGUGAAAUGCGUAGAGAUCGGGAGGAACAUCAGUUGCGAAGGCGGCUCUCUGGACCAGUACUGACGCUGAGGCGCGAAAGCGUGGGGAGCAAACAGG